UACGGGGGGGGGCAAGCGUUGUUCGGAAUUACUGGGCGUAAAGGGCGCGUAGGCGGUUUGCUAAGUUGGAUGUGAAACUCUGGGCUUAACCCAGAGCCUGCAUCCAAAACUGGCAAACUUGAGUACUGGAGGGGAAAGCGGAAUUCCUGGUGUAGCGGUGAAAUGCGUAGAUAUCAGGAGGAACACCCGUGGCUAAGGCGGCUCUCUAGUACGGUACUGACGCUGAGACGCGAAAAGCGUGGGGGAGCGAACAGG
rnacentral:rRNA from 1 species